ACCAUCCUUUCCUUGGGGUUGCACUACUGUCCAGUGAAUGUCUAGUGAGGGCAGUACUGCUAACACUUAGACAAAGAUAAUAAACAAUCUAAAGCAAA
ensembl:snRNA